UACGAAGGGGGCUAGCGUUGCUCGGAAUGACUGGGCGUAAAGGGCGCGUAGGCGGACAUCUUUGUCGGGCGUGAAAUUCCAGGGCUUAACCUUGGGGCUGCGUUCGAGACGGGGUGUCUUGAGUGGGGAAGAGGGUCGUGGAAUUCCCAGUGUAGAGGUGAAAUUCGUAGAUAUCGGGAGGAACACCUGUGGCGAAGGCGGGCCCC
rnacentral:rRNA from 1 species